CACUCCUACGGGAGGCAGCAGUGGGGAAUAUUGCACAAUGGGCGCAAGCCUGAUGCAGCCAUGCCGCGUGUAUGAAGAAGGCCUUCGGGUUGUAAAGUACUUUCAGCGGGGAGGAAGGCAAUACGGUUAAUAACCGUGUUGAUUGACGUUACCCGCAGAAGAAGCACCGGCUAACUCCGUGCCAGCAGCCGCGGUAAUACGGAGGGUGCAAGCGUUAAUCGGAAUUACUGGGCGUAAAGCGCACGCAGGCGGUCUGUCAAGUCGGAUGUGAAAUCCCCGGGCUCAACCUGGGAACUGCAUUCGAAACUGGCAGGCUUGAGUCUUGUAGAGGGGGGUAGAAUUCCAGGUGUAGCGGUGAAAUGCGUAGAGAUCUGGAGGAAUACCGGUGGCGAAGGCGGCCCCCUGGACAAAGACUGACGCUCAGGUGCGAAAGCGUGGGGAGCAAACAGGAUUAGAAACCCUUGUAGUCCC
rnacentral:rRNA from 1 species